rnacentral:rRNA from 1 species
UGGGGAAUCUUGGACAAUGGGCGCAAGCCUGAUCCAGCCAUGCCGCGUGAGUGAAGAAGGCCCUAGGGUUGUAAAGCUCUUUCGGCGGGGACGAUAAUGACGGUACCCGCAGAAGAAGCCCCGGCUAACUCCGUGCCAGCAGCCGCGGUAAUACGGAGGGGGCUAGCGUUGUUCGGAAUUACUGGGCGUAAAGCGCACGUAGGCGGACUGUUAAGUCGGGGGUGAAAUCCUGGGGCUCAACCCCAGAAUUGCCUCCGAUACUGGCAGUCUCGAGUGCGGGAGAGGUGAGUGGAAUUCCCAGUGUAGAGGUGAAAUUCGUAGAUAUUGGGAAGAACACCAGUGGCGAAGGCGGCUCACUGGCCCGUAACUGACGCUGAGGUGCGAAAGCGUGGGGAGCAAACAG